GAAAGUAAGAAAGGGCGUAUGGCGGAUGCCUAGGCUCACGGAGGCGAUGAAGGACGUGAUAAGCUGCGACAAGCCCUGGGGAGGUGCAAAUGACCUUUGAUCCAGGGAUUUCCGAAU
rnacentral:rRNA from 1 species